CAGAUGUAUUCACAGAACACUGUUAAACAGAAAAUUAUAAGCUUCACCCCAAGAUACCAAUUUGAAUUCCAGCUGGAUGCUCGGAGAUAUUUAAAAGACAUUAUAUGUGUGAUCUUCAAGACCUGAAAUGCUCUACAAUGGUCUACCUGAACCUCAAAAUAUCUGAACCAAACAAAUUACGACUUCAACAGCUGUUGUGGAUUGAGAGGAAUUCAGAGAAUUUCCCAGGAUGUUGAGAUUUUAAGUAGAUGUUUCUGCCUUUCUCUGUACCAGUGUUUUCCACAAAGACAAGAAAGGAUGUUCUGAUUCUUUGACAUCAUUAGGAAAUGUCCUUUCAACACACCUCUUGAUCCAAAAGCUAAAUGUGAAGGGGAUUGGGAAUUCUGUGCCCAAAAUUCAACAGGCUGCUCCUGGCCUAGCAUGCAUGAUUAAGACAUUUAAGAUUCAGUAGCCAGCAGCACGAGAUCAGUAAAGAAGCAGUAAAGUUAGCAUGACAACCAGCUAUUUUUAGUCCUCAGCGCAGGCAGAUGUUCAUUUACAGAUGGAUCAGCUCAGUCCAACAACAUGUUACAAGAUCUCAAGGAACUUCAGUGCCAAAUCUGUCAACACCUUUUCCCCCAGGAAAAAUAUAUCCAGUGGUUCCAAAGUCCUUGGUAAAAUGUGAAUGGAAAACUUCAUGAGGGCUUCUAAUUGGAAUGGAAAAAAAAACAUGGAGAAUCUUCAUCAGGCUUGGAGGACACAGUUGAAUCUUCCAGAAAAACUAAACCAAUAGUCAUGAAGCAAAGAGAGGACAAGAUGCUAUAUAAGAGAUCUGGCUGCAUACUUGAGGUACACCCACUCACCCCUGACUCCAUCCACUGAAGCUAAGUCACUGUUCAAUGUUCUUCCCUCACACACAGAUGAACAAUCAACCCCCUUGUCUGACACUGGGUGCUGUUUUGCCAAGGAAAUGUGAUACCAAAUUGCUUCAUACCUCUACUCUUACAAAAAGUGUUAAAAAUUCCUUUUUCCUCUCCUAGUUAUGUCUGUAGAAAAGGACAACGAGCCAUUGACAGUAUUCUUGCAUUCUUCUAUACGGCAGAUUUCUUUAUACUCUAAUCCUCCAUAUUUACUGAAGUUAAGGGAAAAUUUUUAAUGCAUACUUUUGAUUCACUUGGUGUACAUGUGUUAAAAAGAACUGCAACAAAUGAAGGUCACUUUAAAGGAAUGUGAGGAUCUAAAUUACAUGAUGGAUUUCCAAGUGCUGAACUCUGUUUAAUUCCAUUACACAAACACUGAGCAUUUUCUUGAUCAUUGCUAAUUAGAUCUCUAAAUACUCUGCAAAGAAAGGCAGCCAUGUCAAUACAAGCAGAGAAAACACAAAUGUUGUGUGCACCAGAUAAAGUUUCUGUGUGACAAGUCAUGAGAACCUUUUGGGAAAUCUCAGCCUUUCCUAAACUACAAUUACAAUGGCUCACACCUGGAAACAACUUUCAGCAGAGGGCUCAAGAUCCAAAAGGCAUUAAAGUACUGAGAGCAAAAAACCUUUCCUGUUUGAUCCUCUUCAGGAUGACCGGAUACUAUAUUUAUGUAAAUAAACAAGAUUUUGCUUGCUAUACAGUUUGUAAUUUCUUCUUAAAGGCAAUGUACAGGAGAUUAAUUAAUCUUGUAUGUGUCUCUGAAAAAAAUGGCAGAGUGGCAUAUGAGUGCAAAGUGGACACACUUCUGUCAUUAUUCUGUUU